rnacentral:rRNA from 1 species
AGUGAACAAUUCACCACCUACCUGCUGUCCAGUUGAGUCAGUGUGGGCAACACCACAUGCCUCCGUUUGUUGUUGACGGACACAUGCCCGCUGUGUAUGGGCUGGCACAUUGACCAACAAUGUACGGACAGCGCCCUGUGGGCACAUGAGUGUUGGGGUGUAACCGAUGUUGGUGGCCCGAUGGGCGAGUCGACAAUUGCUGCUGUUGUCGGGUCGCUGUACCAACGGAGGUGGCACGCCCACAGGGCACCCUAACGGCUGUGCUGGCGUCUGUGCGUCGUUGAGCGGUUGUUGCGCCUUGCGUGGAUAUGCUGACAUGGAUGUAUACUGCGAUUCCAUGUUGUACGUGCCGUACCCAGCGGCAUGUCUGCGCUUGUGUGCUACGUCCGUGGCCGUGAUGAGACGACGUGUUAGGACCCGUGCCUGGCAUUGGCACGUGGUUUAAGACUUGAUGAGUGCCCGCAGGCACCGCCAGCUUUUUCUCAUUUUUAUUUAUUUUUUUGCAAUUCGAUUGCUAAAAUAUUCUAGUCUUAUCGGUGGAUCACUCGGCUCGUGGAUCGAUGAAGAACGCAGCCAACUGCGAUAAUUAGUGUGAACUGCAGAAACCUUGAACACAGAACUUUCGAAUGCACAUUGCGCCAUUGGAGUGACAUCCAUUGGCACGCCUGGUUCAGGGUCGUAACCAAAAAAUGCACUGCAUGUGCGUGUUUUAUUUGCUAAGAUCACGCUUCGGCGUGUUCUUGCAUACCAUUGAAUGCUACGCUGUGUAGCGUUGGACGUGCUGGCGCGAAACUGUGUUGUCUUUCGCGCUUUACAGACCGUAAUUUAGGCACGUCCUUCGUUCACAUGCGAUAGCUGAAUGCCUCGCCAAUAGGCAUUUGCAAUUGAACAUUUCGACCUGAACUCAGACGUGAACACCCGCU